GGCAGCAUGCCAGAGUGGUUAAUGGGUAAGACUUGAAUUAGCAAUCAGUUCCUAUCUUAUGACUUCGGUCGCGCAGGUUCGAACCCUGCUGCUGUCG
rfam:Colletotrichum gloeosporioides Nara gc5 unplaced genomic scaffold scaffold143, whole genome shotgun sequence.